rnacentral:rRNA from 1 species
UACGAAGGGGGCUAGCGUUGUUCGGAAUUACUGGGCGUAAAGCGCGCGUAGGCGGACGUUUAAGUCAGGGGUGAAAUGCCGGGGCUCAACCUCGGAACUGCCUUUGAUACUGGACGUCUGGAGUUCGGGAGAGGUGAGUGGAAUUCCGAGUGUAGAGGUGAAAUUCGUAGAUAUUCGGAGGAACACCUGUGGCGAAGGCGGCUUUCUGGGCCUUACCUGACGCUGAGACGCGAAAGCGUGGGGAGCAAACAGG